rnacentral:rRNA from 1 species
GUGACAGUGGGCAGCCACUACGCGAGUAGGAGCUAAUCCCAAAAAGCCGUCUCAGUUCGGAUUGUUCUCUGCAACUCGAGAGCAUGAAGGCGGAAUCGCUAGUAAUCGCGGAUCAGCAUGCCGCGGUGAAUACGUUCCCAGGCCUUGUACACACCGCCCGUCACACCAUGGGAGUUGGGUUCACCCGAAGGCGUUGCGCUAACUCGCAAGAGAGGCAGGCGACCACGGUGGGCUUAGCGACUGGGGUGAAGUCGUAACAAGGUAGCCGUAGGGGAANNUGNGGCUGGAUCACCUCCUUU